rnacentral:rRNA from 1 species
UACGAAGGGUGCAAGCGUUACUCGGAAUUACUGGGCGUAAAGGGUGCGUAGGUGGUUUUUUAAGUCCGUUGUGAAAUCCCUGGGCUCAACCUGGGAAUGGCAGUGGAUACUGGAAAGCUAGAGUGCGGUAGAGGGUAGUGGAAUUCCCGGUGUAGCAGUGAAAUGCGUAGAGAUCGGGAGGAACACCAGUGGCGAAGGCAAUCCCCUGGACCUGUACUGACGCUCAUGCACGAAAGCGUGGGGAGCAAACAGG